UCAGCAUAUUAAGCGAUAGUGUUGUCAGCGUUCCAUGAAGGCAGCAUAGUUUGUAUCUGGAAUACAAGCCAGUGGAUGUUUUGGUCUUCCACAAACGUGAUUGAUUGAGUGAGUGUUGUGGAGCGGCCUACCAAUGCAUGUGGAUCUCUUUGACGCUCGCAUUGAGACAGCAAUAAAGUUCUCUCACGCAAUCGACUGUGGACAGCAGACAAGAGAGAGAGAGAGAGAGAGCUCAGUCUCGACUAUAGGAAAAGGACAGCAAAAGAUGCAGACCAUUUCAGUCGGCGUCGCAGAUGUUAACUAAGCAUGUCGACUCGUCGAAUAUCGGAAGGCCGAAAACAAGAAACGGAUACUGACGGCCGAUACAGUAACUCUGAAAGCUGGAAAUGGAACGUGGUCAAGUUGCUUCACUGGGCCGUUGGAUUAACAGGCUUCGCCUACGUGAUUUGGAGUUUCGCCACCGACGAUACAAACCGCCUCCUUCCUCAGCAGAUGCGGGGUGCCUUCAGGCCUAGUCCGUAUGGAUUGCAGAGGAGGCAGGUAUGUCUCGGCAGGAAUUCUUCAGAUUGUGAUAAACAUGACUGUUAUAUCAAAGCGCCACUUUUCAGAACUUGA